AGACACCUUGUCAAAGCAUGCAUUCAUGCCUCAAAACCAAGCAAUCAGACCUAGGUCUUGCAUGCAUGUCCCUGUGGAGGCGCCAAUUUGAAUGGCGACCCCUCUUAAAGGUUGUACAUGGUCGCCAAUUCAAGUGGAGACACCAUGCAAGUACAACUUUUCAUGCUCCCAUCCAUUUGCCUAUAAAUACAUCCACUUCAUCA
rnacentral:lncRNA from 1 species